rnacentral:rRNA from 1 species
AGAGUUUGAUCCUGGCUCAGAUUGAACGCUGGCGGCAUGCCUUACACAUGCAAGUCGAACGGUAACAGGUCUUCGGACGCUGACGAGUGGCGAACGGGUGAGUAAUGCAUCGGAACGUGCCCAGUCGUGGGGGAUAACUGCUCGAAAGAGCAGCUAAUACCGCAUACGACCUGAGGGUGAAAGCGGGGGACCGUAAGGCCUCGCGCGAUUGGAGCGGCCGAUGUCAGAUUAGCUAGUUGGUGGGGUAAAGGCCUACCAAGGCGACGAUCUGUAGUUGGUCUGAGAGGACGACCAGCCACACUGGGACUGAGACACGGCCCAGACUCCUACGGGAGGCAGCAGUGGGGAAUUUUGGACAAUGGGCGCAAGCCUGAUCCAGCAAUGCCGCGUGCAGGAAGAAGGCCUUCGGGUUGUAAACUGCUUUUGUACGGAACGAAACGGUCUGGGUUAAUACCUCGGGCUAAUGACGGUACCGUAAGAAUAAGCACCGGCUAACUACGUGCCAGCAGCCGCGGUAA